UACGAAGGGGGCUAGCGUUGUUCGGAAUUACUGGGCGUAAAGCGCGCGUAGGCGGUGAUCUUUGUCAGAGGUGAAAGCCCGGGGCUCAACUCCGGAACUGCCUUUGAUACUGUCGAUCUGGAGUAUGGAAGAGGUGAGUGGAAUUCCGAGUGUAGAGGUGAAAUUCGUAGAUAUUCGGAGGAACACCAGUGGCGAAGGCGGCUCACUGGUCCAUUACUGACGCUGAGGUGCGAAAGCGUGGGGAGCAAACAGG
rnacentral:rRNA from 1 species